GUGCCAGCAGCCGCGGUAAUUCCAGCUCCAAUAGCGUAUAUUAAAGUUGUUGUGGUUAAAAAGCUCGUAGUUGAACCUUGGGCCUGGCUGGCCGGUCCGCCUCACCGCGUGCACUGGUCCGGCCGGGCCUUUCCCUCUGUGGAACCCCAUACCCUUCACUGGGCGUGGCGGGGAAACAGGACAUUUACUUUGAAAAAAUUAGAGUGCUCCAGGCAGGCCUAUGCUCGAAUACAUUAGCAUGGAAUAAUAAAAUAGGACGCGCGGUUCUAUUUUGUUGGUUUAUAGGACCGCCGUAAUGAUUAAUAGGGACAGUCGGGGGCAUCAGUAUUCAACUGUCAGAGGUGAAAUUCUUGGAUCAGUUGAAGACUAACUACUGCGAAAGCAUUUGCCAAGGAUGUUUUCAUUAAUCAGGAACGAAAGUUAGGGGAUCGAAGACGAUCAGAUACCGUCGUAGUCUUAACCAUAAACUAUGCCGACUAGGGAUCGGACGGUGUUAUUCAUGACCCGUUCGGCACCUUACGAGAAAUCAAAGUGCUUGGGCUCCAGGGGGAGUAUGGUCGCAAGGCUGAAACUUAAAGAAAUUGACGGAAGGGCACCACCAGGGGUGGAGCCUGCGGCUUAAUUUGACUCAACACGGGGCAACUCACCAGGUCCAGACACAAUAAGGAUUGACAGAUUGAGAGCUCUUUUCUUGAUUUUGUGGGUGGUGAUGCAUGCCGAUUCUUAGUUGGUGGGGUGACUUGUCUGCUUAAAUGCGAUAACGAACGAGACCUUAAACCUGCUAAAUAGCCCGCAUUGCUCCAGCAGUGCGCUGGCUUCUUAGAAGGGACUUUCCGGCUUCAAGCCGAAGGAAAG
rnacentral:rRNA from 1 species